rnacentral:rRNA from 1 species
GGGNNUGGCGACUGCUACCAUGCAGUCGACGAUGGUCCCCAGCUUGCUGGGGGGAUUAGUGGCGAACGGGUGAGUAACACGUGAGUAACCUGCCCUUGACUCUGGGAUAAGCCUGGGAAACUGGGUCUAAUACCGGAUACGACCGCUCACCGCAUGGUGUGGUGGUGGAAAGCUUUUGCGGUUUUGGAUGGACUCGCGGCCUAUCAGCUUGUUGGUGGGGUAAUGGCCUACCAAGGCGACGACGGGUAGCCGGCCUGAGAGGGUGACCGGCCACACUGGGACUGAGACACGGCCCAGACUCCUACGGGAGGCAGCAGUGGGGAAUAUUGCACAAUGGGCGAAAGCCUGAUGCAGCGACGCCGCGUGAGGGAUGACGGCCUUCGGGUUGUAAACCUCUUUCAGUAGGGAAGAAGCGAAAGUGACGGUACCUGCAGAAGAAGCGCCGGCUAACUACGUGCCAGCAGCCGCGGUAAUACGUAGGGCGCAAGCGUUAUCCGGAAUUAUUGGGCGUAAAGAGCUCGUAGGCGGUUUGUCGCGUCUGCUGUGAAAGACCGGGGCUCAACUCCGGUUCUGCAGUGGGUACGGGCAGACUAGAGUGAUGUAGGGGAGACUGGAAUUCCUGGUGUAGCGGUGAAAUGCGCAGAUAUCAGGAGGAACACCGAUGGCGAAGGCAGGUCUCUGGGCAUUAACUGACGCUGAGGAGCGAAAGCAUGGGGAGCGAACAGGAUUAGAUACCCUGGUAGUCCAUGCCGUAAACGUUGGGCACUAGGUGUGGGGGACAUUCCACGUUUUCCGCGCCGUAGCUAACGCAUUAAGUGCCCCGCCUGGGGGAGUACGGGCCGCAAGGCUAAAACUCAAAGGAAUUGACGGGGGCCCGCACAAGCGGCGGAGCAUGCGGAUUAAUUCGAUGCAACGCGAAGAACCUUACCAAGGCUUGACAUGGACUAGUAACGCCUGAGACAGGCGCCCCUCUUGAGGCUGGUUCAACAGGUGGUGCAUGGUUGUCGUCAGCUCGUGUCGUGAGAUGUUGGUUAAGUCCCGCACCGAGCGCAACCCUCGUUCUAUUGUUGCAGCGCGUAUGCGGGACUCAUAGGAAGACUGCCGGGUCAACUCCGGAAGAAGUGGGGAACGAACGUCAAUCAUUCAUGGCCCUUAUGCUCUGNNCUUGCAGCGNUGCUUAACAUGGNCGGUACAAGGUUGCGAUACGUGGAAGGGAGACUUAUCCGCAAAAAUCGGGCUCUCUAGAAUUCGGAUGUNGCG